AGCGGUGGUUGUAAAAUAUUAAGAUUUAUCAAAUUUAUUCUAAAAUGUUUUGUUUUGUUGACUGAAUGUCACAAAACUUAAGACUUUUUUUUCUUUUUGUAUUAAAAGGUACAACAUGUACUUAACAAUAAAAAAAAAAACCACAUGUGGUCAUAAGUGUCUUUUUCUACAUAGAAAUUGAAUGCAAGUUAAGCUACAUUCAAAUGUUCUCUGCUAGAUACAGACAUGUGCUUGCAUUGGAUUUUUUUUAUCUAUAGUGUCUAUAUACAUUGUAUCAUUUAGUUAUUUAGAAAACUUCAUGAGCAAAACUACUGAUUAGGUAGUUUUUGAUUUUCAUUACUGUCUU
rnacentral:lncRNA from 1 species